CUCACUGCUACAGAAUCCUUGAUGUUUCUGGGUUUUUCUACAGUGCUCUGCCAAGAGCUAGACACUAUCAAUUUUCUGUGCCAAGGAUUCAAGAAAAAGCUCUUCACAUCAACCAAAAGUGGUCUAAUCUUUUGGAAAGUCAUCUAAACAUACACAAUAUAAGCUGAGACAACUCUUCCCCCGAAAUGGAACCCAAAGCUAAGACCACCACAUCACUGCAUGGUGCCAAUCAUAUCAUGUUGUUUAAGGCCUUGUGAAACUCAAAAAAUACAGUAGGUGGAAGCAGCAAUUAUUCCUUGUGCAGCAUUGGGUUGCUUAUGUCCAAUUCCAUGAAUAUAUAUACUUCCUGUUCUCAUGUUAAGAAUAAGACAUACUUAUCACAGCAAGCUGCCUUUUCAUGAACUCUUAUGAGAAAAUGGAGCAGUCUGUGGAAUCCAAGCUUGCAGAAGUCACCUUAGUUGACUAGAAGUCCCAAUUAUGGAAGGAUGGAACCCUGUAUCUAUUAUGGGCACAGCUACCUCAUUUUAUUCUUUUUUCUGAGAUUUUCAGCAUUAGUUAUCUACAUAUUUUUUAUUUUUUAUUUUUGACAAGCAGGGUUACACAAGGAGAGAGAGACAGUGAGAAAGGUCUUCCUUUUCCAUUGGUUCACCCCCCCGCAAUGGCCACUACCACUGGCGCACUGCGCCGAUCCGAAGCCAGAGGCCAGGUGCUUCCUCCUGGUCUCCCAUGCAGGUGCAGGGCUCAAGCACUUGGGCCAUCCUCCACUGCCUUCCUGGGCAGAAUUAGAAAAAGCAAUCCUAAAAAAUGUCAUUGGUUUUUUGAUAGGGAUUGCAUUGAAUCUAUAGAUUGUUUUAGAUAAUAUAGACAUUUUAAUGAUAUUGAUUCUUCUGAUCCACGAGCAAGGAAUAUCUUUCCAUUUUUAGUGUCUUUGAUGAUUUCUCUCAUUAAUGUUUGAUGAUCUUCAUUGUAGAGAUAUUUCACUUAUUUGGCUAAAUUUAUUUCUAAAUGUUUGAUUGUUUUGUGGCUACUGUGAGUGGGAUUUCUUUCUUGAUUUCUCUUUUUCUGAGCUCAUCAUUUGCAUACCAAAAGUCACUGAUUUUGUAUGUUUAUUUUGAAACCUGAAACUUUAUUUACUGAAUUGAUUUAUCAAGUCUAACAUCUUUUUCAUCAAGUGUUUAGGAUAUUCCAUGUACAACACCAUGUCAUCUGCAAACACAGACAAUUUCAUUUACUCUUUCCCAAUGUUAAUAAUGCCCUUUAUCUCUUCUCCUCCCUAAUUGCUCUUGCUAAAAUUUAGAGUAAUAUAGUGAAUAAGAGUGAUGAAAGUGGACAAUCUUGACUUGUUCCAUAAUGGAGGAGAAAUGCUUUCAGGUUUUCACCAUUCAGUAUGAUAUUGGCUAUUUUGUGAUUUAUAACAUUUAUAAUUUAUGAUGUUUAUUGAUCUGUGAAUGUUGAACCACCCUUGCAUUCUGGGAAAAAUCCCAUUUUAUCAUGAUAUUUGAUCAUUUUAAUGUGGUUUGAAUUCAGUUUGCUAGUAUUUUGUUGAGAAUCUUUGCAUCUAUGUUCAUUAAGUUUAUAGGUCUGUAGUUUUCUUUAUUAUAUCAAAGUAACCUUGGCCUCAUAAAAAUAUUUGCAGAAUUCUAUCCUGUUCAAUAUUUUAGAAUAAUUUGAAGAUUUUUGGAGUUAUUUCCUCUUUGAAUAUUCUGUAGAAUGCAGUAGGAAAGCCAUAAGAUUCCCGACUUCUUCUUGUUAGGAGAUUUCGAUUACUUCAGCUUCAUUGCUUGUUAUGUGUCUGUUUAGGUUGUCUAUAUCAUCCUGAUUUAAUUCUGAUAGGUUUUAUGAAUUCAGAGAUUUAUCCAUUUCGUCAAGGUUUUCCAGUUUUUUAGCAUAUAGUUCUUCAUGUUAGUUUCUUAUGAUCCUUUGUAUUUCAGUGGUGUCACUUUUAAUGUUUCCUUUCCCAUCUCCUUUUUAUUUAUUUGAGUUUUUUUUCUCUUUCUUUCCUUGUUAGUCCAGCUAGAGGUUUACCUAUAUUUUUAAAAUUUUUCAAAAACCAAUUUUAGUUUUGUUGAUUUUUUAGCUAUAAUUUUGGUUCCAAUUUCAUUCACUUCUUCUCUGAUCCUUAUUAUUUCUCACCUCCUGUUGAUUUGUGGAUUGAGUUGUUCUUGUUUAUCUAAGUCUUCAGGAUGCGUCAUUAAAGCUUUAGUUUGAGACAUUUCCUUUUUUUAGGUCAGCCCUUAAUGCUAUAAACUUCCCUCUUAAUACUGCUUUUGCUGUAUUUCAAUGUUUAUGAAUUUGUUGAGACUUGAUUUGUGGCCUAAUAUGUGGUAUAUACUGUGGGGAGCAAUCCGGACUGGACUGAGUUACUGGAAUUAAGACUUAUUCUAUGCAUCUGCUCUCUCACAAUAUGGCGCUGGGAGAGAAGUAAACAGCUUCCGCACAGCUGCCUCCAGUUCAGCUAAUAAACUGUAGGACUUGCUCCUGAUUGGAGGAGAGCAGCGUACUCGGCGUGUGGGCAGCCGAGUUAGGAUUGGCGGAGGAGGACUAUAAAGGAGGAGAGAGACGGCAUUCACUGGGGAACAUCUAAGGGGAACAUCUAGCUGAAGGAACACCCGUGCAGCCCCCAAGAAAGCCGGCCGGCGGUGUGCCGCUCCCCUGCGGAAGUGGGGAAUGUGGCCAGGGGGAACUGCCCUUCCACGGAGGUGGAAGGGUCGGUCGGUAGCCAACCCGGGAAGAACCAGCAGCAAACCCGGGGAGGGCCGAGCAGACGAAAGAACAGCGCAGGGUCCUGUGUCGUUCCUCCACGAAGAGGGGGAGCGACAUAAUGGUGCCGUGACUCGGAUAUGAAGCCUAGGCAGGACUCUGUGUCAUUCCUCCACGAAGAGGGGGAGCGACAUUAUACUAGAAAAUGUUCCAUGUGUUGAGGACAAAAAUGUUUAUUGUGUAGCUGGUGAAAUGUCAGCUGCAUUUGCUCAAUAGUAUGUUUCAACAUUAAUAUCAAAUGAAUGUUCAUUAAUACCUAUUUGUUCAUUGUUGCGAAGUUGCCUGUUCAUUAACACCUGUUUUUCUAUUCUUUAAUACCUAAUUGCACAUUAGAACCUAUGUGUUCAUUAAUACCUAUUUUUAUGUUUAUUCAUAGUUAUUUGUCUCUUUGUUAAUAUGAUUUGUUCAUGAGCAAUGAUUUUUUUCUGUUCAUGAAUAACAAUUUUAUUGUUCAGUAAUACCAAUUUACACAUUAAUUCUUAUUCAUUAUGUACAUACUUGUUCAUUCAUACAUACUUGCUCAGUAAUACCUAUUUGCUCUAUGUGCUCAUAUUUAACUAUUUUUUAUUAAUACCUUUUUGUUUACAAACACCUGUUUGAGUACUCACUAAUGCCUACUUGACUGCUCAUGAAUACCUAUUUGACUGUUCAUGAACAUCUACUUGACUAUUCAUAAAUAUUUAUUUUACCGUUCAUAAGUACCCAUUUGUUCAUUAAUACUUAUUUGUCUGUUCAAUAAUACCUGUUUGUUCCUCAGUUCCUGUUUGCUCAUUCAUAUGUAUCUGCUGUUGAGUAAAUAACUAACUUCAUUAACACUUUUUGUUCAUUAAUAUUUAUUUGAAUAUUCAUUAAUACCUAUUUGUCUGUUCGUUAUUAUCUAUGUUCAGUUCAUUAAUCCAAGUUCACUGCUCAUUAGUACCUAUUUGUUCAGUUGUACCAAGUGGUCUGUUCAUUGAUACCUGGUGUUCAUUAAUACCUAUAUGUUCUGUUAUUAAUACCUAUAUGUUCACUAAAUUCUGUCCGUUAGUAUCUAUUUGUUGUUCAUUAAUACCUAUGUGUCUUUUCACUGAUACCACUUGCCUGCUUAUUAAUGCUCAUCACUUAUUCAUUAAUAUUAAUUAUUUUUUCAUUAACACCCAUAUGAAUAUGCAUUAACACAUAUUUUCUGUUCAUUAUGCAUAUUCACAAAUGCCUAUUUGUUCAUUAACACGUACAUUCAUUGAUAUUUAUCUAUUGUUAAUUGUGCAGUAAUAGUAUUUGUUAAUUAUUAAGUAUUUGUUCAUUAAUAAUAAUAAUAAUAAAUAGUUUACAAGUAACUAUUUGUUUAAUAAAGUUUAUUAUUUAAUGCUUAUUUGUUAAUACAUACUUGGACUGCUCAUGAAUAAUAACUAACAAACUCUUCAUUAAUGCAUAUUUGAGGGCUCAUUAACACCUAUUUGUCUUUUUUUAUUACCUAUUUUCUGUUCAUUAAUGCCUAUUACACUGCUCAUUUUUUACAUGUUCAUUAAGGGACAAAUACCAUAUAUUCUCCAUGAUCGAUGACAACUAACCAAGCACCAAAAAGGAAACCUGUUGAAGUGAAAUGGACACUAUGAGAAACAGUGACUUGAUCAACCCUUGUCCCGACUGUUGAUUAGCUAUUUGCUCAUUAGUAACUAUUUGCUAGUGAAUACCACGUUGACUAUUUAUGAUGCUUUGUUGGAGGCACAGUGCACAGUUAGGUAUUCCUUCUGAUCUCACGUGGGUUGUUCAAGGAACUGCAGUCAACUGACACUGGCACUGGAGAUGCUUAUUUGUCUUUCAAUUUAUGCGGGAUCAUUCUUGGUCUCCAUGUCUUCAACAGGUAAUCCCUGCCUUCUGUAUAUGAAGAAGGAAGAGUUUCCUUCAAAGCAUGUGAACACUAUUCAAACCUGUACUUGUUUCACAUUUGCUAAUGACCCAUUCGUCAAAGUAUACAGGUGGCCUGCGCUGUGGUGCCGUCAUUCCAUACGGGUGCCAGUUCGAGUCCCAGCUGUUCCACUUCUGAUCCAGCUCUCUGCUAUGGCCUGGGAAAGCACCCAUCGGGGAGACUGGAAGAUGUUCCUGGCUCCUGGCUUUGGAUUCGUGCAUCUCCAGCCAUUGGGGCCAGUUGGGGAGUGAACCAGUGGAUAGAAGACCUCUCUCUCUCUCUGCCUCUUCUCUCUGUAUGUAACUCUGACUUUCAAAUAACUGAAUAAAUCUUUGAAAAAUGUGUAUCCAAAAAAAAAAAAAGAAAAAGAAAAAUGUGUAUCCAUUUGGGUUAUCAGACAUUAAGUCCUAGUUACUGGUGGAAUCCAAAAGGAAGCAAAAAAGCUUCCGAGGAGAAAUUCUAAACAAAGGGAGUGAGGCACAUGGAGCCCUGCACAUUCCCCUGAAGUUUCUUGUCCCUCAAGCAUAGAACAGGUCAGGAGAAUUGUUCCCAUCAGCCCAAGAAUGAAAUGAAGGCAAUAAAUCAGUUGGGUUUGAGUGAGCUAUGUCUGCACGGCAGCUGUUUAGAUCAAGUCCCCAGUACCAGAGGGCAAGCAGAGCAUCUUCGUAACCGCUGGCCCUGUGAGAUGAUCAUGGCAGUGCCCUGUGACUGACACCUCCUCUAAUGCCCUAACUCCUAAGCACCCUAGCCCUCUAGAACAGACACACUUGUGCAAGUGAACAAAUACUGCAUUUCUACCAUCUGGGAUUAGAGGAUCAAAUUAGAAAUUAGGUGUGUGAAUUCAAAAUCAAGGACAGUAUACUUCUUACAUUUUUCAGUUUCUUCAUGAACUUAGCCUGUUUUCUGUCGGACCAUUUUGGAAGGAAACUACAUGUGGAAGAAUUAAAGCAUUGGUUCCAUAUAAGCUAUCCUAGUGAAGUGUCUUCGUGUACUCCCAGGUCAAUGUCCCCUACACUAUGCUGUCUACAUCUCUUCCAGUGUUGGGAAGGAUGCUGAACGUUUAUGUAGAUCAUUUGUCAUUAAGUAGCUGAUUCACAAAAGCUCAAAAUUACCUCAGUAAAAAAUUAGAAUCUACUCUUACUGUUCAGUAGAAAUAUGAGAUGUGAAAUAAUGUUUUAACCUGAGAAAAAGAAAAGCAUUAGCCAAAUCCAUAUCCCACCAUUUUCAUAGGAUCAAUUGUCCUGGGGUCCUCCGUUACUAUCCUAAUUUCUCUCCCCAGAUACUCAUGCGCUUCAGUUGCUGUAAUGACAUCUAUUUACUUAGGAACUUGGCUUAAUGUUGAGUAACUCAAUCUGCUGUCCUCAUCUCUAGGGCAUGCUCUGAAAUUCCUUAGGAGGUGAGGCCACAAACCUGAAUGAGGUAGUAGUUGUAGAUGUCUCUUCAUGUCUCUACCAUGCAGUAGGAAAUAAUGUGAGAGACAAGAAAACUUUUCUUUUUAGCUCCUAAAAUACUGAACCACCGUAUUUUCAAAGCAAUGUGGAAACCUGGCAAUAAUUGUGAUACGUCACACUAACAAACUGAAGAAUAAAAAGCAGAUGAUUAUUUCAGCAGAUGCAGAAAAAGUAUUUGUUACAAUGCAACAUCCUUUCAUGAUGAAAGCCUUAAGCAAUAUAUGUAUAGAAGGAGCAUUCCUCAACAGAAUCAAGGCAGUUUAUGACAAACCCACAGCCAGUAUCUUAAUGAACGGGGAAAAGUUGGAGGCAUUCCUAUAAGAUCUAGAAACAGACAAGGAUGCAUCAUUUGGCAAUUACUAUUAAAUAUAAUUCUGUAAGUUUUAGCCAGAGUCAUUAGGCAAGUAAAAGAAAUCAAAGGGAUACUAAUCAGAAAGGAGAAAGUCAAACUACCCCUACUUGCAGAUGACAUGAUUCUAUAUGUAGGGAAACCAAAAGACUCCAGUAAGACUAUUGGAAAUCAUGAAAGAGUAUGCUAAAGUGGCAGGAUAUAAAAUUAAUGCACGAAAACAAUAGUGUUUGUAUACACAGACAACACCACGGCUGAGAAAGAACUUUAAAGAUGAAUCCCAUUCACAACAGCUACAAAAAUAAUUUAAUACCUUGGAAUAAAUUUAACCAAGGAUGUCAAAGACCUCUAUGAUGAAAAUUACAAAACAUUAAGGAGAGAAAUAGAAGACACUAAAAAUGGAAAUAUCUUCCAUGUUCAUGGAUUGGAAGAAUCAAUAUAAUCAAAAUUUCUAUACUUACAAAAGCAAUUUACAGAUUCAAUGUGAUACCAAUCAACAUACCAAUGACAUUCUUCUCAGAUAUAGAAAAAAAAUGAUGCUGAAAUUCACACGGAAACACAAGAAAGCACAAAUAGCUAAAGAAAUCUUAUAAAACAAAAGCAAAGUUGGAGGCAUCAUAAUAUCAGAUUUCAAGACAUACCACAAAGGCAAUUAUAAUCAAAACAGCCUGGUAAUGGAAAAAAAGAAAAUAAUAGAUAUGUAGACCAAUAGAAAGAAAAGAAGCUCCAGAAAUCAAACCACACUUCUACAAUAAAGUUAUCUUUAACAAAGGAGCUAAAAUCAAUUUCUGGAGCAUGGACAGUCUCUUCAACAAAUGGUGCUGGGAAAACUGGAUCUCUGCAUGAAGAAGUAUGAAACAAGAUCCCUACCUUACACGUUAAACAAAAAUACACUCAAAAAGGAUCAAAGAUAUAUCUAUGAACUAAUACCAAUGAAUUAUUAGAGAACAUUGUGGAAACUCUGCAUGAAAUUGGCAUAGGCAAAGACUUCUUAGAAAAGACCCCAGAAGCACAGGCAUUGGAAGCCAAAGCAAAUGGGACUGCAUCAAGCUGAGAAGCUUCUGCACUGCCAAAGAAACCUUCAGCAAAGUGAAGAAGCAACCAACAGAAUAGGAGAAAAUAUGAGCAAACUAUGAAACUGAAAAAGGAUUAAUAUCCAGAAUCUAUAAAGAGUCAUGAAACUCAAAAAACAAAAUAGAACAUAGACCAUUUCCUUUCCACCUGAGUUUAUGGCUAGAUCAUUGGUUAUUUUCUAUGAAUCAGUAAAAAUGAAAUUGCAGGGGAUAAGGGCCCCUGCUUCCACGUAGCAGAUAAAGUCACUGCCUGCAUUGCCAGAAUCCCAUAUAUGCGCAUUUUCGCAUCCAAGCUGCUCCACUUCCAAUCCAGCUUUCUGCUUUGGCCUGGUAAAGCCCUGCACCCAUGUGGGAGACCCAAAAGAAGCUUUUGGCUCCUGGCUUUGCAUAGGCUCAGCUCCUGCCGUUGUGGCUAUUUAGGGAGUGAAUCCCUAAACAGUGUUUGGAAGAAGAUUCUCUCUCUCUCUCUCUCUCUCUCUCUCUCUGUCUCUCUCUCGUUCUAUGCCUCUGCUCCACAUAACUUUUUUGAAAAAAGGCAGGAGAUUUUAUAGUUGUUCAGCUUUUCAAUCACUGCAAGAAAAACGGGAUUAUAUUCAGCCCAAUGUGCUGAAUUGUUUCUAACAUCUUUGAUCAUAAUGGGAUCUUUCUAAAUGGGAUGCUGCCUGUUCAUUUCCAUCCACAAAAUCUACAGCUCUUUCUGAACCACUGUGACAAAAAGCACCAAAAGAAUAUAAUAUGCAAAAACAUUCCUUCCAUACCCAGUUUGCUUAGAGGUUUCAUCAUGAAAGGGUGUUGUAUUUUAUCAACUGCUUUCUCUGCAUCUAUUGGGAUAAUCCUAUGGUUUUUCUUCUGCAGUCUGUUAAUGUGGUGUAUCACAUUGAUUGUUUUGUGAAGAUUGAACCAUCUUUGCAUACCAGGGAUAAAUCCCACUUGGUCUGGGUUGAACUCUAUAAUUAACACACAAUUAUUCUUAGGUGUUUAAAUUUAACUAAAAAGCGAUCCCUGUUAAAUAUAAGAGUGGGAAUAAGAGAGGGAGGAGAUGUACAAUUUGGGACAUGCUCAGUAGGACUUGCCCCAAAUGGUGGAGUUAGAAAUGUGCCAGGGGAUUCCAAUACAAUCCCAUCACGAUUGCAUGUACCAAUUCCAUCUCGCUAGUCCAAGUGAUCAAUUUCAGUUCACAAUUGAUCACACUGAUAGGUCUAAGAGUCAAAGGGAUCACACAAACAAGACUACUGUCUGCUAAUGCUAACUGAUAGAAUAAAAAAGGGAGAGAACGAUCCAACAUGGGAAGCGGGAUACACAGCAGACUCAUAGAAUGGCAGAUGUCCUAAACAGUACUCUUGCUUCAGAAUAAGCCCUUAAGGCAUUCAGAUCUGACUGAAGAGCCCAUGAGAGUAUUUUAGGCAUGGAAAGCCAAGACACUCUGACAAAACAAACAACAAAAAACCUACAUGAAAGAUCUCUGCAAGUGAGAUACCAGCAGUAGAAAGAAUGGGUCAUCAAAGAAGGAGGUACUUUUCUCUGAAGGGAGGAGAGAGCUUCCACUUUGACAAUGACCUUGUCUAAAUAAGAUCGAAGUCAGCGAACUCAGGAUUCCAUAGCCUUGGAAACUCAUGACUAGAGCCUAGGGAGAUUUCUGACACCAUAAACAAGAGUGUCAAAUUGUUAAGUCAACAACAGGAGUCGCUAUGUACUUACUCCUCACGUGAGAUCUCUGUCCUUAAUGUGUUGUCCAAUGUGAAUUAAUGCUAUAACUAUUAUUCAAACAGUAUUUUACACUUUAUGUUCUGUGUGGGUGCAAACUGAUGAAAUCUUUACUUAAUAUAUACUAAAUAGAUCUUCUGUAUAUAAAGAUCAUUGAAAAUGAAUCUUGAUGUGAAUGGAAGGG